rnacentral:rRNA from 1 species
UACAGAGGUCCCAAGCGUUGCUCGGAUUCAUUGGGCGUAAAGGGUGCGUAGGCGGCGUGGUAGGUCGGGUGUGAAAUCUCGGGGCUUAACUCCGAAACUGCAUUCGAUACUGCCGUGCUUGAGGACUGGAGAGGAGACUGGAAUUUACGGUGUAGCGGUGAAAUGCGUAGAUAUCGUAAGGAAGACCAGUGGCGAAGGCGGGGCUCUGGACAGUUCCUGACGCUGAGGCACGAAGGUCAGGGGAGCAAACGGG